CCUGCUUUAAACGCCAAACCCCAAAAAAUCGCUGUCCAUAAAGGGUUAAAAUCGUCGUUUAGCUCUCUGUCAGUUCUGACAGUUCGGGAAACUUUUGUUUCUUCUCUAGUAUGUAAAUUGACCGUCGGAUUCAGCGAGCCUAUUGGCUACGAGUCCGAGUCAAUUUCGUAUUUCAAACCUGACGUCAGGGCGGCUAUAAAACUCAGCAUUGCUUUUAUACUCAUAUGCUCGGUGAUCCUUUAAAAACUCUAGAACAAGCCCGGAGUACUUUUUUUUUUUCCUCCAGCCAAGCAUCCAAUUGCCAAUCACAUACAUGUUACGGUCUUCAUUUCAACGAAACUAUUGAGAGAGAAAAAGAAAGAAAGACAGAACAAAUCCACGCAGCCAUGCAGUGUUAAAUGUUUGCGACUCAAACGCGUCGACACUCGCGCACAAAGAGAGAGGAACUGGAGACGCGCGCGCUCCUGCGUCUGUGCGCGAGAGGCGAAUUUAAAAAAAAUAAAUAAAUCGGCGCUCGCGAACCCUUUUCUUUGCUUUUGAAGAAUUAAACAAAGAAAUCAAGCUGGCUCACGCUGUCUCGAACCCCACCACUUUGACAGCUGCUCUUCACCCCCUUUGGAGGACUGUCAACAGCAAAAGGAUGGCAUCAGAACUGGCAAUGAGCAGCUCCGACCUGCCCACCAGUCCCCUGGCCAUGGAAUAUGUUAAUGACUUCGAUCUGAUGAAGUUUGAAGUGAAAAAGGAGCCGGUGGAGCCCGAUCGCAGCAUCAGCCAGUGCAGCCGCCUGAUCGCCGGGGGAUCCCUGUCUUCCACCCCGAUGAGCACGCCUUGCAGCUCGGUUCCCCCUUCUCCAAGCUUCUCGGCGCCCAGCCCGGGCUCCGGGAGCGAACAGAAGGCGCACCUGGAGGAUUUCUACUGGAUGACCGGUUACCAACAGCAGCUCAACCCGGAGGCUUUGGGCUUCAGCCCCGAGGACGCGGUGGAGGCGCUGAUCAACAGCAGUCACCAGCUCCAGAGCUUCGACGGCUAUGCUAGAGGGCAGCAGUUCGCCAGCGCAGCCGGCGCGGGAGGCGCCAUGGCCGGCGAGGAGAUGGGAUCCGCCGCCGCGGUGGUCUCCGCGGUCAUCGCGGCCGCCGCAGCCCAGAACGGGGCACCCCACCACCACCACCAUCACCACCACCACCCGGGCGGGCACCAUCCGACGCCCGGGCUGCAGUCCAACGGCAACUCCGCCAACCACCAGCACAUGCACCUGGACCUGGACGAUCGCUUCUCGGACGAGCAGCUGGUGACCAUGUCCGUGCGCGAGCUCAACCGACAGCUCCGGGGGGUCAGCAAGGAGGAGGUCAUCCGGCUCAAACAGAAGAGGAGAACCCUCAAAAACAGAGGCUAUGCCCAGUCGUGUCGCUACAAGCGGGUCCAGCAGAGGCACGUCCUGGAGGGCGAAAAGACCCAUCUGCUGCAGCAGGUGGACCACCUCAAGCAGGAGAUCUCCAGACUGGUGCGCGAGAGAGACGCGUACAAAGAGAAGUACGAGAAGCUCAUCAGCAGCGGCUUCAGAGAAAACGGAUCCAGCAGCGACAACAACCCGUCGUCCCCGGAGUUUUUCAUGACAUCACGCAAGUUUCUACACCUGUGAUACGACCUCUGACCCCUGCCCUUUGCCCCUGCAGUCUGAGACUCUACAUGAAAAUCUGUCGUCACAGAUCAACGCUUUCAAUUGAGCUCAUAAACAAACAACAGUGUAACACUGGAAUGAUUCUGGCUUAGGGUGACCUAUGGCUCCAAGACUGCCACAAAGCACAACCUCUCCAAAAUCCACCCCUGAUGAAGACAACGAUGAGGAGGAUGAUGGAGGAUUAAGAGAAAUUAGAAACCCUUUAUCGACCUGAGUGCCAUUCCUCAGCCUUACCCACAAUCCCCUUCUACUGACUCUACCCUGAUUUUACAGUCAGAUGUCUCGCCAACAAUGAAAAACUAAUUUAGAAACAUCCUUGCAUGUUUGAUGAUGCAAUCCGGACAAUAAAAGGAAUUCAAAAUG